ACCAGCACUUUUUAGGAAUAUUUUAUCGAAACUAGUAAUAAUUGAUUGAUUGAUUGAGAGAAGUUUUAAUUGAGAAUUAAUUAUGUAAAGGUCAAUCAGGCCAGACGCCGGCAUUGUGACGUGAAAAGGAGAAAUGCUAACACGGUUUGCACUUUUUUGCCUACUAGUUUUUCUUCCAUAUAGGGGAGAUGCCAUGGAUAUUGGUUGUUCAUACGGAGAAACCGUUCUAUGCGGCAGCGACGGUUCUACAUACUACGACUUGUGCGCCUUCCACACCAUCGAAGCGGUAAAUCCUUACCUGGUCGUGGCCCACCACGGCCCGUGCGACCACCGACAUGUUUUCAACCAACUACUUCGAGGCCAGAUUCCAAAAAUUCUAAGACUAGGAAAAUUUUCGAAGAUGUUAUUAGCGCAAAUCAUAAACUCGCAAACACACCUGGGCGGAUUUAACUUCGAAAAUAAUGCGAUAAACACACAAGGAAACCAUAACAGUUUUGGAAUAAACGUUGGAAAAACUUAAUAAAAAACAAUUUCCUUUAAUUCUUUGUUUUAUUAAAUAACACUUCGAUCCUUUCCAUAAUGAUAUAUACAUAAUUUGACGUUUAUUUUUGCUUAGUAAUAUAUUAUAAUAAAGCUACACAAAAGUAACUUCUUUACUGUAUACAUAAUACAUUGUAAUAACGAAAAAAUGUUUAUUACUUAAUAACCGUUCUAAUACUAAUAAAAUAUAGUAAUAUCCUCCGGAUAAUUUCAUCAUACAUCGAUCGGCUCAUUAUAUCAAUUACUCCAUAAGUUUUAUACGUUACGCCCGAUUACGAAAUUAUGUCCUGAAAAUUAACGCUUUAUUAAAAAGUGUAAUCGUAAACUACAAUUGCUAACGUGUGUUUGUAAUUCAGAAUCGAGGAUUUAUUUGAAGGAAAAGCCAUGUCAUCGAAUUAUUCAGGAAGUAUUUUUAUUAGAAUUUAUUUUAUUAAUGUUUUAGUAAUGAUAUUUUGUAAGAGCACCAUCGCAGCGGUAAAAUUCCCACUCGGGGAGACGGUCGUAUGCGGAAGUGACGGCUUCACCUAUAACAGUCUCUGUGAUUUGGAAAUCGUGCGAACUGUCCGACCCAACCUUGAGUUACAUCACAUAGGUGUCUGUCACGGAGAGGGAUGCUCACUGGAACCUUUCAUCAAGCUUCUUGAUAAUAAUUCCGAGUUAAGGAGCAGAAAACUGUCAGCCGGUAAACAGAAGAAAACCCUGUCAAAUUAUAAUCUGAAUAAACUAUUUCUGACUAAGAUACUUAAUGCACAAACUAAUUUGAACGGAUUUAAUUUCGAGAAUAAUGCAGUGAAUACGCAAGGGGACAGCAACGCCUUUAAAAUAUCAUUUAAUAAACUCAGAGGAUAAACGCUUUUCUUUAUAUAGACAAGGAAUGCGAGUUCUUUAAAUUAUUAACUUUGCUGUAAAAUGUGUUAAUAAAAGAUUUUUAAUUCUG